rnacentral:rRNA from 1 species
AUUGAACGCUGGCGGCAGGCCUAACACAUGCAAGUCGGACGGUAGCACAGAGGAGCUUGCUCCUCGGGUGACGAGUGGCGGACGGGUGAGUAAUGUCUGGGGAUCUGCCCGAUAGAGGGGGAUAACCACUGGAAACGGUGGCUAAUACCGCAUAACGUCGCAAGACCAAAGAGGGGGACCUUCGGGCCUCUCACUAUCGGAUGAACCCAGAUGGGAUUAGCUAGUAGGCGGGGUAACGGCCCACCUAGGCGACGAUCCCUAGCUGGUCUGAGGCGAUGACCAGCCACACAGGAACUGAGACACGGUCAAGACUCCGACGGGAGGCAGCAGUGGGGAAUAUUGCACAAUGGGCGCAAGCCUGAUGCAGCCAUGCCGCGUGUAUGAAGAAGGCCUUCGGGUUGUAAAGUACUUUCAGCGGGGAGGAAGGCGAUGUGGUUAAUAACCGCAUUGAUUGACGUUACCCGCAGAAGAAGCACCGGCUAACUCCGUGCCAGCCGCCGCCGUAA